GGGUUAGUCGGGUCCUAAGCUGAGGCCGACAGGCGUAGGCGAUGGAUAACAGGUUGAUAUUCCUGUACCACCUAUAAUCGUUUUAAUCGAUGGGGGGACGCAGUAGGAUAGGCGAAGCGUGCGAUUGGAUUGCACGUCUAAGCAGUAAGGCUGAGUAUUAGGCAAAUCCGGUACUCGUUAAGGCUGAGCUGUGAUGGGGAGAAGACAUUGUGUCUUCGAGUCGUUGAUUUCACACUGCCGAGAAAAGCCUCUAGAUAGAAAAUAGGUGCCCGUACCGCAAACCGACACAGGUAGUCAAGAUGAGAAUUCUAAGGUGAGCGAGCGAACUCUCGUUAAGGAACUCGGCAAAAUGACCCCGUAACUUCGGGAGAAGGGGUGCUCUUUAGGGUUAACGCCCAGAAGAGCCGCAGUGAAUAGGCCCAAGCGACUGUUUAUCAAAAACACAGGUCUCUGCUAAACCGUAAGGUGAUGUAUAGGGGCUGACGCCUGCCCGGUGCUGGAAGGUUAAGAGGAGUGGUUAGCUUCUGCGAAGCUACGAAUCGAAGCCCCAGUAAACGGCGGCCGUAACUAUAACGGUCCUAAGGUAGCGAAAUUCCUUGUCGGGUAAGUUCCGACCCGCACGAAAGGCGUAACGAUUUGGGCACUGUCUCAACGAGAGACUCGGUGAAAUCAUAGUACCUGUGAAGAUGCAGGUUACCCGCGACAGGACGGAAAGACCCCGUGGAGCUUUACUGUAGCCUGAUAUUGAAAUUCGGCACAGCUUGUACAGGAUAGGUAGGAGCCUUUGAAACGUGAGCGCUAGCUUACGUGGAGGCGCUGGUGGGAUACUACCCUAGCUGUGUUGGCUUUCUAACCCGCACCACUUAUCGUGGUGGGAGACAGUGUCAGGCGGGCAGUUUGACUGGGGCGGUCGCCUCCUAAAAGGUAACGGAGGCGCUCAAAGGUUCCCUCAGAAUGGUUGGAAAUCAUUCAUAGAGUGUAAAGGCAUAAGGG
rnacentral:rRNA from 1 species